rnacentral:lncRNA from 1 species
UAUCAGAAAGUAAGCUGUGUGAGUCAGAGUUUAAGUAUUUAUAUAAUUUUGAACUGGUUCAUAUAAACCUUCCACAACUGGGCAUGGUUUAAUUGCUGCAAUUAAUAAAGUUGUGGAAGGAUCAAGCAUUUGCAUGGCAACACGAAGAACUGAAAAUGUUGUUACAAUUAUUAUGAGAAAAACUGAAGGUAAAGGCUCAUGAUUGGUAUAUUUAUAGUGCAUUCAUUUAAGGUCACUACUGACAAUACCAACAGAAAAAGAAUCAAUUU